UACGUAGGCAGCAAGCGUUGUUCGGAAUUACUGGGCGUAAAGGGCGCGUAGGCGGCCUGCUAAGUCGGACGUGAAAUCCCUCGGCUCAACCGAGGAACUGCGUCCGAUACUGGUGGGCUUGAAUCCGGGAGAGGGAUGUGGAAUUCCAGGUGUAGCGGUGAAAUGCGUAGAUAUUGGGAGGAACACCGGUGGCGAAGGCGGCUACCUGGACCGGUUCUGACGCUGAUGCGCGAAAGCGUGGGUAGCAAACAGG
rnacentral:rRNA from 1 species